rnacentral:rRNA from 1 species
AAGUCUGGUGCCAGCAGCCGCGGUAAUUCCAGCUCCAAUAGCGUAUAUUAAAGUUGCUGCAGUUAAAAAGCUCGUAGUUGAAUUUCGGGACUAAUAUAUCGGUCGUGCCUCGGUACGUACUGGUAUUUUUGGUUUCUCCCUUCUGACGAACCUUGAUGUCAUUAAUUUGGUGUCUUGGGAAAUCAGGACUGUUACUUUGAAAAAAUUAGAGUGUUUAAAGCAGGCUCACGCUUGAAUACAUUAGCAUGGAAUAAUGAAAUAGGACGUUUGAUUCUAUUUUGUUGGUUUCUAGGAUCGACGUAAUGAUUAAUAGGGAUAGUUGGGGGCAUUAGUAUUCAAUUGUCAGAGGUGAAAUUCUUGGAUUUAUUGAAGACUAACUACUGCGAAAGCAUUUGCCAAGGAUGUUUUCAUUAAUCAAGAACGAAAGUUAGGGGAUCGAAGACGAUCAGAUACCGUCGUAGUCUUAACCAUAAACUAUGCCGACUAGGGAUCGGAUGAUGUAAUU